GACGAACGCUGGCGGCGUGCUUAACACAUGCAAGUCGAACGGAAAGGCCCUGCGUUUGUGGGGUGCUCGAGUGGCGAACGGGUGAGUAACACGUGAGUAACCUGCCCUUGACUUUGGGAUAACUUCAGGAAACUGGGGCUAAUACCGGAUAGGAUCUGCUGCUGCAGGGUGGGGGUUGGAAAGUUUCGGCGGUUGGGGAUGGACUCGCGGCUUAUGAGCUUGUUGGUGGGGGGGUGGCAUACCAAGGCAUUGACGGGUAGCCGGCAUGAGAGGGUGAACGGCCACAUUGGUCCUGCGAGACGGCCCAGACUCCUACGGGAGGCAGCGGUGGGGAAUAUUGCCCAAUGGGCGGACGCCUGAUGCAGCAACGCCGCGUGCGGGAUGACGGCCUUCGGGUUGUAAACCGCUUUCGCCUGUGACGAAGCGUUAGUGACGGUAAUGGGUAAAGAAGCACCGGCUAACUACGUG
rnacentral:rRNA from 1 species